rnacentral:misc_RNA from 1 species
UCCGAUUUGUCACCGGCAGUCCCCUAUGAGUCCCCGUCUUUCACGCUGGCAACAUAGGGCAGGGGUUGCGCUCGUUGCGGGUCUUAACCCAACAUCUCACGACACGAGCUGACGACAGCCAUGCACCACCUGUGCACUGGCCCCGAAGGGCUGCCGUGUUUCCACGACAUUCCAGUGCAUGUCAAGCCUUGGUAAGGUUCUUCGCGUUGCGUCGAAUUAAGCCACAUGCUCCGCCGCUUGUGCGGGCCCCCGUCAAUUCCUUUGAGUUUCAGCCUUGCGGCCGUACUCCCCAGGCGGGGCACUUAAUGCGUUAGCGACGGCGCGGAUCUCGUUGGUUGAGACCCACACCUAGUGCCCAACGUUUACGGCGUGGACUAC